AAGUCGUAACAAGGUUUCCGUAGGUGAACCUGCGGAAGGAUCAUUAGCGAAGCUCGGAAUGCGCGUCCCACACUGUAGCUGCCCGGCAACGGGACGUGCUCGUAUGGGAUGUGUGUCCCUUCUCUAUACCACUCCACCGUGAACCAAGCCUGCGAGCGGAAGAGAGAUCGGAAGCUCGCGAGCAAAACUUAACAUACCCCAACGAAGUAAUAAGAAUGUACCUUGCGUUAACUCGCACAAAUACAACUUUCAACAACGGAUCUCUUGGCUCUC
rnacentral:misc_RNA from 1 species